CUGGGGGCGCGACGUCUUAGGGGGCUGUCUUGCGUCCCUGUAUUAGCACCUGGGGGUAGGAAGUAGACAAGGACAGGGCGCUCGCCCUUUGCUGUAGCCAGGCGCAGCUCCUGGGGGCUGAGCGCCUUCUGCGGCUCUUUGGUUUCAAGGACACAGCGAGCUGCUCAGGACUUUGGGAGCCAACAUCUGUCUGACUGGUGACGUCAGCAGCCCGUGUAAUCCUCUUGUGCUGAAGGCAGAUGCCUUAUUUGUUUGGCUGGAGCGAGCCAUUAAUCCCUAAUUCUGGAUCAGCAAGCGAGGGGGAAAGACUGGACCGCUCCGACCCACCCCCUCCCCAUCCCCACCUCCCACCCUAAAGCACCUUAUACCACGGAAGCCUCUCACCCUCCUCUUUCCUCCGUGAACGCGCUGAGCAGCGAUUGAAAGCGCUUUGGUCCUCUGCAGGUUUGAGCAGGGCUAGUAGGGGCGUGUUCUGGGGUCUCAGAACUAGACCAGCUCUAGACUCUCUCACCAGCCGCAGCCAGCUCUACGCGCCCUCAGGCCGCGGUGGCGGAGAAUAUCCCCCCUUCCUCGGACCCUGGAACCGCAGCGGGCCUUUCCCUCGGGGCCGACAGCGCCGUAGGGGACGCCGCGAAAAGAGCCGCAGCGGCCGCCGCCUCCCGCCCGCUGCGCAGAGGGCUCCGCCCGUAGAGGUCAACUCCCCUCACCCCUUCCUCUCUCCAACUCGCCCUCCCUCCGCCCGGCCCAGGUUCCUCCAGCCUCCGGAAUCCGGCCGCAGUCUGAGGAGUGCGCGUCCGCUGUGCUGCUCGCAACCAGGACCCGGAGCCGGCCCCAGCCUUCGGGUCCGCGCUCCCCGGCCCCCCGGCCGUGCGGAAGCCUUAGCGAGCAGCCUUUUCUCUCUGCAGUAAAGCUGUAGCCAUACCAGAUGGGCCGCCCCGCUCUCUGGGGACUAGGCAGGUGCGGUUGAGUUAAUUUUUCCGCAUCACAAAGAAAGAUGACCUAGACCGCCCUUGGACUCUUCUCUCUUCCCCAAAUCUCCCAACCAAAACCGCGGUAACGCUAUCAGAGGACGUAGAGACUAGGCAUAUCUGCGUGUUUAUCUUACAUACACACACGUAUGGUUAUCUUCCCCUUUAUGUGCUAGAUCGCAUGCCCACAGCAGGAAACGAUUGGCAAGGCUUUCUUCAGCAGAACAUGCAGUGGCGCGGUCCUUAAAACCUGCCAUUCCUUACAAGGGACUGAGAAGAGAUGCGGGGCACACCAACCCGGUUAAUUGCCUUCAGCGAAAUAACAUGAUUGUGAAAUUAGAUCUGUACCAGAGGGGUAAUUAACUUCGAUCCACGCCGUCAUUUGAAAACUAGAUUUAUAGGCGUAUGUAUGUUUUUAGGGGUGCUGUAAAUGGCAUGCGGAAAUAUGCAUAUGUAUACGCAGACAUGCAUCGUCUACACUUCUUCCGAACAGUCUAAUUAGCAGCCUCUCUCUCUGGCAGCUGUGGCAGGAGGUGAGCGGAGACAGGAGCCAGGCUUCUGAGUUAUGGCUCCUGCGGAGUCCUGGGGACCCAGAGCUCCCGGGAGGGGGAAGGGCAGAAGGAGACGUGUGGUAUUCGAAGGGGGUCAGUUACUUUCCGGAUCAAGAUCAGACUCUGCCCUCCGUGUUCACAGCGGACCUUGAUUUAAUGUCAUACAAUUAAGGCACGCGGUGAAUGCCAAGAGCGGAGCCUACGGCUGCACUUGAAGGACACCAGAGCGUCUCAGGAUAUGAGAGGGAAAAAGGCAACUGAAAAGGGUUUUAAGGAGUGGUAGAACAACCUCAUCUUUGGCGGAUAGAGACCCUCAAAUUGAUUCCAGAACCAACCUAGUGUUCCGCAAGCAAAAGGGUCACAGUUCUCAGUAAGAGCUCGGAAAUCCGCACGCAAAUCCCGGAGGGGGAUUUUGGGGGAGCUUCAGUGACAGCUGUCAGGAGAGCAGGAGUUCCCGUUUGUGCAAGUAUUCUAGAGAGUUUAAGCUUUUAGAAAGCAGUGAUUCCUUCAAGAGCGGGUAGUAAUGAUUGUUUGCGAUCCUGGGCCAAGCUGCGGUAACAGAACCGUCGAGAAAGAGGAUGAUAACAUUAAGUGGCGUCCUCACCACAUUGCGCAAGAAACCUCAACUGGCUCAGCUCCUUGGGGAAGCUCACAACCACCCCCCCCCACCAUCACUUCCCCUUUCUCUUCCCAGUCUCCAGUGGGCCUAGCCUGGCUUUAAAAAGCCAAGAUAAUUUUCUUGUUUCGUCAUAGUCGCAAUGGCCAAAUCAGUCAAAGGAGGACAAGAAACUUUAGAAGGACUUGGUAAAUUAUUUUAUUUGAAAGCCAAUAAGGUGGACUUUGUUAAGAUAGUAGUUUGCACCACUGCCUUAGGGCCAAAGACAAACCCGAGCUGGGAAGCGAGCCUUGAUAGAAGUCUUUGUUCUGCCGUGGCCGGCAGGGGCCGCGAACAAAGGGGAGGAUCCACUGAAGUGGCCGCGCCCUCCGCGCCUGCCGCUGUCCUCGGUGCUGACCAUGGCGGCCCUCUUCUCUAAUUUCGCAAAACGCAAUAGGACCGUCCUGCCACAGCCCCCGAAGUGUAACAGGAUAUUAGGUAGUUUGCGAAAGAAACAUUAAAAGCAGGGAAAUGACGCAUACAGCAACACCUAAUAUUUACCGAGAGCGUCCACUCUAGCUGUUGCCACACUUGGCUUGUGCUUUUCCAUCUUUAUGUAGUUAUGCAUAUACACUUAGUGUACAUGCAUUGGGAAACAAUUUUAGAUUUUAGGCUAAAACCCGAAUCUAAGCAAAGGGCAGGACUUGCAAGAAGAAUGAAGUCGCCAUUUUUUUCCUCUUAAGCCAUCUACCUUAAAACACACCAACAUAAGCUCCUCAGCCACAGAGUUUAACAAUGCUGGUGAUUUCACCCAAGGGACAAGCGACAGACUCAAGUGUGGGCCUCAAGACAUCUGAAGGAGAUGAGAUGGGGACUGACUAGGUGAGAGCCAAGAGGAGCCCACCCACCUAGCCUGCUGCCUCUGGCCAGGCUCUCGCCAGGGCAGCCUUUCCGGGCAGGUCCCAAGCUCAGAGCUUGCUUCACCGAUUCCCAGCCAGCAGGAAGCACAACAAGGCCAGGAGGCCUGAAACCCGCACUGCGGAAAAACCGACCACAGCAGCAUCCUCACAGCUCUGGCAGGUAGAACAAGUCAGGAUGGUUUGUUUACUAAAUCCCAGGCCAUGAAGAUUCGUUUUUGGAGCCUAGGGUCCUGUGGGUCCAUAUCAAUAUAUUCAAUGCCUUUUUAAAUAUCUCAGCAUAUUCCAUUGUCCUAAAUAUUGAAGUAUUGUAAUAUAUAAAUAAUAAAAUUUAAGUCUCCUAACUAAACAAUGAACAAAAGAAGAAAGAAAGAGCGAGAAAACCAACAACUUUGUAGCCAGCCUGGGCUCUCAAAAGAAAGUACUGUGCAUUUGCUUGUGUUAGUUUAUAAAUCCACAAACUGUAAACAAUUUUAAAAUUAGGAAUAGAUAAAACAAUUUAGACUGAGCAAUUGAGGCAGCAACACCAAUUUUGAUCCAGACAUAGAAAUGGACCAUAAAUGGGUCAUACAUUUCAUCAGGUUUGUUCUUUUAUGCCCUGGGUGGAGGAGAUAUGAGAAAGGAUUCAUAAAAUAAAACAACCAAGAUACAUCUCAGCCAGAUACAUCCUUUCCCCAUCCUUCAGAGUGGAUUUUAUUUGUCUUUCGAUUUUAGAACUCUGUGAGUUUGGUCUUUUAUAUGCAUUGAUGACUUAGUUUUGUAUUUCAUUUUAUACAAUUUGGGAGGGAGUAGGUAAAACACACUGGUAAAAAAAGGGGGACUAAAGUGAUAAAAGGAAAGGGUUAGGGGAAUAUUCUUCAUGUGCCACUAAGAGCCCUCUAAGAGCCCAAUGUCCAGCCAAUGGACAUUGAAAUGGGUUUAAAGCAUUACAAGUUAGCAUUAAAGCCUUGGUUUUCUUCCAGUAUUCAUGCAACUGCACUGAUUCCCUGCAUCCACAUCCCCCCAGCUCAUUCAUGAAGGAACAGGUCCAAAGCUGGAAAACACUGCUGUCUGAGUAGGGUUAUAACUCACAUUACUUAACAGAAAGCACACCUAAUCUCCCUCACCCUCAUCCUUCUCUUUAGGACAGCCCAAACUCAUCCUCCAGAAAGCUCAAUCAGUUUUAAAAAUCACUUUCUAAACAGAAAUAAAGUACAUACUGUGAAAGAGGGAAGUUAAAAUACCACAUAGGUAAGGGAACACAAUUUAGUAAUCUAUUUGCCGUAAUUAAAUCUAGAGUGGUUAUUGAUUAGUAAUAUUUCCAGAUUUUUUAAAAGACUAUUUUCUACUUCUCUUAAAAAUAAUCAUCUGCUGUAAUGUGCAUUGCCAAUUUCCCUGCUAUGAAAUUCUAUGCUUAGCAUUUUUUGCAAUAAAUCAAUCAAUGCUUCGUAAUUGGAAAUUUUCGGUGAGGCAUGCUGUGGGAGACCUUUGACAAUCAUAGCUUUCAUUUAGUGGGCUGAAAUUAAAGCUUCUCAGAAUAAACUUAGGAACAGCUUGACCCUUUCUGAUACUCAAGGACAACCCUCCAGGGAAAUAGUAUGUUUCUGUCCCAGGAACAAGAUGCUAGCGCAAUGCACCAGGAGGUAUCCGGUGUCAACAAUACCAGAGCGCCCUCUGCUACCCAUAAGAGGCAAGACAUCAGUUACAAAAGCCAGAUGGCACUGAGUUGCAAUAAGGGAUGAAAACAAUAAGCUCUUAGAAAUAUUUAAUCUGUGAAAUUUAAAAGCUCUCAUCAUAUUGUACUUCUGAAGGGGCCAUCCAAUUUCAAUUUCCAACACUCUUUGGAUAAUCUCCUUCUAUUCGGAGGAUAGGGAAAAGUUAAUGUUUUAAAGUUUUCAUUCUGUCCAAUUAUUUCUGUAGUUAUAUUUCUGCACCUUUACCCCCCUCAAAUUGCAAAGUCCUCUUUAGCCAUGACAAGAUAUGGUCGCAGCAUAGGCAAACUCACAGGAGGUGUUACGUGCUUAAAAAUUAGUUUUUCAGUAUACAAUCUCUUCUCAAAUGAAAUGGAGAUUUUUAAAAAGGUUAAAAUCUUUUUUAAUUUUUAUGUAAUAUAGGAUGUAUAAUGAAUAAAAAUAUGUACAGUUGUAUUCAUUCAAUGUUGUGAAUUUCAAAAUUACAGCCUAUUUCUAAAAAAAAUCUUUGACAUGAAAUCUAUUGUUGAAGGUAUCAGUGCUAAUGUAAUAAAAUGAUUCUACUAAUAAUGUGAUUGUUAAAUAAAUUUUGUAAAAAUAAAGUUCUGUUUAUAUUAUGGUG